AGCGGCGGAUGGGUGAGUAACACGUGGGGAACCUGCCCCUAAGUCUGGGAUACCAUUUGGAAACAGGUGCUAAUACCGGAUAAUAAAGCAGAUCGCAUGAUCAGCUUUUGAAAGGCGGCGUAAGCUGUCGCUAAGGGAUGGCCCCGCGGUGCAUUAGCUAGUUGGUAAGGUAACGGCUUACCAAGGCGAUGAUGCAUAGCCGAGUUGAGAGACUGAUCGGCCACAUUGGGACUGAGACACGGCCCAAACUCCUACGGGAGGCAGCAGUAGGGAAUCUUCCACAAUGGACGCAAGUCUGGUGGAGCAACGCCGCGUGAGUGAAGAAGGUUUUCGGAUCGCAAAGCUCUGUUGUUGGUGAAGAAGGAUAGAGGUAGUAACUGGCCUUUAUUUGACGGUAAUCAACCAGAAAGUCACGGCUAACUACGUGCCAGCAGCCGCGGUAAUACGUAGGUGGCAAGCGUUGUCCGGAUUUAUUGGGCGCAAAGCGAGCGCAGGCGGAAAAAUAAGUCUAAUGUGAAAGCCCUCGGCUUAACCGAGGAACUGCAUCGGAAACUGUUUUUCUUGAGUGCAGAAGAGGAGAGUGGAACUCCAUGUGUAGCGGUGGAAUGCGUAGAUAUAUGGAAGAACGCCAGUGGCGAAGGCGGCUCUCUGGUCUGCAACUGACGCUGAGGCUCGAAAGCAUGGGUAGCGAACAGGAUUAGAUACCCUGGUAGUCCAUGCCGUAAACGAUGAGUGCUAAGUGU
rnacentral:rRNA from 1 species